rnacentral:rRNA from 1 species
AAGGUNCGUAGAGACCUGCGGAGGAUCAUUA